rnacentral:rRNA from 1 species
UACGUAGGGUGCAAGCGUUGUCCGGAAUUAUUGGGCGUAAAGCGCACGUAGGCGGCUUUGUAAGUUAGAGGUGAAAGCCCAGGGCUUAACCCUGGAAUUGCCUUUAAGACUGCAUCGCUAGAAUCGUGGAGAGGUGAGUGGAAUUCCGAGUGUAGAGGUGAAAUUCGUAGAUAUUCGGAAGAACACCAGUGGCGAAGGCGACUCACUGGACACGUAUUGACGCUGAGGUGCGAAAGCGUGGGGAGCAAACAGG